rnacentral:tRNA from 1 species
GCACCCUUAGCUCAGUUGGUAGAGCGGCGGAUUGAAGUCCCGCAGGUCACGGUCUCGAUAGCCGUAGGGUGCA